UACGGAGGAUGCAAGCGUUAUCCGGAAUGAUUGGGCGUAAAGCGUCCGCAGGUGGCUAUGUAAGUCUGCUGUUAAAGAGUGAGGCUCAACCUCAUAAGAGCAGUGGAAACUACAUGGCUAGAGUGCGUUCGGGGCAGAGGGAAUUCCUGGUGUAGCGGUGAAAUGCGUAGAGAUCAGGAAGAACACCGGUGGCGAAAGCGCUCUGCUAGGCCGCAACUGACACUGAGGGACGAAAGCUAGGGGAGCGAAGGGG
rnacentral:rRNA from 1 species